GAGGAGCGAAAGCGUGGGGAGCGAACAGGAUUAGAUACCCUGGUAGUCCACGCCGUAAACGGUGGGCACUAGUUGUGGGGACCUUCCACGGUCUCUGCGACGCAGCUAACGCAUUAAGUGCCCCGCCUGGGGAGUACGAUCGCAAGAUUAAAACUCAAAGGAAUUGACGGGGCCCCGCACAAGCAGCGGAGCAUGCGGCUUAAUUCGACGCAACGCGAAGAACCUUACCAAGGCUUGACAUAUACAGGAAUAUGGCAGAGAUGUCAUAGCCGCAAGGUCUGUAUACAGGUGGUGCAUGGUUGUCGUCAGCUCGUGUCGUGAGAUGUUGGGUUAAGUCCCGCAACGAGCGCAACCCUCGUUCUGUGUUGCCAGCAUUUAGUUGGGGACUCACAGGAGACUGCCGGGGUUAACUCGGAGGAAGGUGGGGAUGACGUCAAAUCAUCAUGCCCCUUAUGUCUUGGGCUGCACGCAUGCUACAAUGGCUGGUACAAACGGCUGCAAUACCGCAAGGUGGAGCGAAUCCGAGAAAGCCAGUCUCAGUUCGGAUUGGGGUCUGCAACUCGACCCCAUGAAGUCGGAGUUGCUAGUAAUCGUAGAUCAGCAACGCUACGGUGAUACGUUCCCGGGGCUUGUACACACCGCCCGUCACGUCACGAAAGUCGGUAACACCCGAAGUCAGUGGCCCAACCGCAAGGAGGGAGCUGCCGAAGGUG
rnacentral:rRNA from 1 species